GGGGAUGUGGCUCAAGCGGUAGGGCGCUCGCCUGGCAUGCGUGUGGCCCGGGUUCAAUCCUCAGCACCAUCU
rfam:Ictidomys tridecemlineatus contig088104, whole genome shotgun sequence.